GCCUUGUGUCUUAGUCAUACAGGUUAUCACUGCCUUGUGUCUUAGUCAUACAGGUUAUCACUGAGGAGGAGUCAGUCAGCACUGCCUUGUGUCUUAGUCAUACAGGUUAUCACUGAGGAGGAGUCAGUCAGCACUGCCUUGUGUCUUAGUCAUACAGGUUAUCACUGCCUUGUGUCUUAGUCAUACAGGUUAUCACUGAGGAGGAGUCAGUCAGCACUGCCUUGUGUCUUAGUCAUACAGGUUAUCACUGAGGAGGAGUCAGUCAGCACUGCCUUGUGUCUUAGUCAUACAGGUUAUCACUGAGGUGGAGUCAGUCAGCACUGCCUUGUGUCUUAGUCAUACAUGUUAUCACUGAGGAGGAGCCAGUGAGCACUGCCUUGUGUCUUAGUCAUACAGGUUAUCACUGAGGAAGAGUCAGUCAGCACUGCCUUGUGUCUUAGUCAUACAGGUUAUCACUGAGGAGGAGUCAGUCAGCACUGCCUUGUGUCUUAGUCAUACAGGUUAUCACUGAGGAGGAGUCAGUCAGCACUGCCUUGUGUCUUAGUCAUACAGGUUAUCACUGAGGAGGAGCCAGUCAGCACUGCCUUGUGUCUUAGUCAUACAGGUUAUCACUGAGGAGGAGCCAGUGAGCACUGCCUUGUGUCUUAGUCAUACAGGUUAUCACUGAGGAGGAGUCAGUGAGCACUGCUUUGUGUCUUAGUCAUACAGGUUAUCACUGAGGAAGAGUCAGUCAGCACUGCCUUGUGUCUUAGUCAUACAGGUUAUCACUGCCUUGUGUCUUAGUCAUACAGGUUAUCACUGAGGAGGUGGGAAUCAAUGGAACAGGAAUGGAACAGACAUUUCCUCCACAAGUAACAUUUCAGAUAUAGAAUCCAUCAUUAUAACGAUACAGUAAGUCUGGAAAAAGCAACACUCCAGACUCAAUAUGUCAAGGGUUGAAAUCACUAGAGAAAGAGAAGUACUUAGCAUGACUCAACCCCACAACGCCAGAGCAUCAGCUCAAUAUUAUCAACCAGUGGGUUGUCGGAACCAGAUGGCUCACUGGGAGCUUCAUGUCAAGGUGGCCCUAGGCUGAACACAUGCAGUAUCUGAGAUAGUGAAACAUGUGGCAGGGUCUCAGACACACAGAUCAUGACCAUGUUGCGUGUUCUAUGUGUGGGGAGAGAUGCACUCUUCUCUCUGGCUCUCUCUGGAGCCACAUCUGCAGAAGAGCAAUGCUUCAUAGCUCAUGCUCACUAUAGCCUAUCAACAUCUGUGUCCCGUCCUGUCACUCAAAACCACUGGGUACAGAGCCCAACCCCUUUUCACUUUCACCAUGAGUGACAGCCCAUGUGGCCAAUCACAUCAGUUUUAUGACCUCAAUCCUGUUAUUGUAUGUCCCUGUUUCUUGAGGGUCGUGCCUGUUUUUUCUCCGUUUAGAGAGAGAGAGAGAGUAAAAGAGAAAGAGAAAACAAAGGAGGGAGAGGGAGAGAGAAAAGAAAGAGAGCGCGACAUUGAGAAGCGUCACACCUUCGAAGCAGGCAGGGAGUGGAGACAGUCGUUGCCAUGGAAACCCCGGCUGGGCUCUAGUGAGUAAGUGAGCUGCUAAAGUGAGCGUGCUGCGCUGUGGCGUAUGCGAGGGAGGGCGCCUGGCUUCGACCGAUCUAACCUGAGGCUGAGUGAAGGAUGAAGGGAGAAGGAGAGGGAGAGAGUCCAGACGGAGAGAAGGAGAACCAGAGAAGAGCCUGAGGUACAAUUAUAGUGUGAGACAGGGCUGAUUGCACAAGCCUUAGAUCUAUAGAGCAGAGAAACAUGUCUCCUCAGGUCUGUGCUGUGGGUAACACACACACACGCACACACAAACAUGCCUGACUAAUGGAGACACCUUUAUUACAGAGCACACAACUCUUUCGUCUCCACACACAGCCUCAGCUCAGAGCUCCACAAUGGGGCCCUUUGUUCCAACUCCGUCGUGAGGCUCACACAGACACAGUGUCAACCUGACUUUCAUUAGGCAGCUUCUGUGCUAAUAGAGACAGUGUGAAUAAUGCAUGAAGGAAGGAGCGCUCAGGAGCCAUUAUUAUUAUUAUUAUUAUUCUAUUGCUGCCAUCAAUCAUAAACACAAGGAUAACAGGAAAGGGACAGGAAAGGAGGGAGGGACACCUGACAACCCACCUAACAAGCACAUGCUCAUCAGAUAGUGAGGUAAAGCCUUUUGAAUUGAGAGAGGUAGAGGAUGACCCCCUACUGUGCCACACAGCUCUGACCAGUACCAAACAAUCAGAUCAUCUUUCCCUCCCUCCCUCCCUUCGGGCACUUCUCAUUAGUAAACACCCCCAGUGGUCUUUACUCCCUACUCAUUAGCAUACACUCAAUAUCCCUCUGGGCAGCAGCCUCACCAUUAACCACACACUCUGGUAAACUAGCUCCGCCCAUUCUAACCCAAUCCUCCCAUUCCACAUAGCAGCACAUGCACACACACACGCUGCAAUGUCAAUCAAUGGUAUGUCAAAGAGGGGGAAGAGAGGUAGAGACAAAGAGAGCGCACAUUUUUCUUUUAAAGAGAGUUGAGAGAGAGAGAAUAUUUAAUCUCUCUGUCUCUGAAUUCAAAGGGCUUUAUUGGCAUCGGAAACAUAUG